GGAGAGGCCCAUAUCCAACCGCAAGAGUCAGAAAGGCAGUUGGAGGCCCUUGUGGUCUCUGACGUGCUCUGACACUUGCCUGCCCUCCCUGUUCUGACCCACCGACCUGAACUUGGGUCCAUUUAUACAGCAGAGACCAGCUCUAACAGCAAGAGGCCAGAAAGGCUACUGGACUCCCUCAGAGUUGCUGAUCUGUUCUGACACUCACUCGCCUGCCCACCCUGCUCUGACCCACCUGAUCCUCACACCCGCCUGGUUACCUUUUCACCAUUUUGAGAGGAGAGGCCCAAGCCCAACAGUGAGAGUCAGAAAGGCAGUUGGAGGCCCUCGUGGUCACUGACCUGCUCUGACGCCUGCUCAUCUGUCUGCCCAACCUUUUUUGACCCACUUGAUUCCCCCACCCACCUGCUUACCUUCUUACCAUCUUGAGAGGAGAGGCCCACAUCCAACAGCAGUUGGAGGCCCUCGUGGUCACUGACCUGCUCUGACGCUCACUCACCUGCCUGCCCUGCUCUGACCCACCUGAUCCCCACACCCGCCUGGUUACCUCGUUACCAUCUUGAGAGGAGAGGCCCACAUCUAACAGCGAGAGUCAGAAAGGCAGUUGGAGGCCCUGUGGUCUCUGACCUGCUCUGACGCUCGUCCAUUUCUC
rnacentral:lncRNA from 9 species